UUCCCUCCUCUUAAAUUGUUUAAAAUGUGAGUGACUGUUGAAGGCAAGAUUAUGACAUCUUCCGGGUUUAUUAACUCGAGCCGGGAUACACAUGACAACCGGAAUGUAGCGGGGGAGGGGAAAGGAAACCUAUGGCUGGGAGGCUUCUGCGAUUAACUGGAGGUGAUAAACAUUACCUGAAAGCAGGUGUGAGAUGUUAGAUAAGAGCAUUGUAAUCCCCGGAGCAACUGCUGAUAGAAUAACGCAAAAAGAGGGAAGCGAUGUAUUGACUUUGCACAUAAAGUUCACCAAAGCUGCCUGCAGGUUCAAGGUGAAGACCCAGCCUCGAAGGGGACAGACGGCUUGCUCAAGGUCGCCCGGACGGUGAGGGGACAUCUGGGGCUGGGAGCAGGCUGGCCCCGGCCUGCUGAUGGACGAGCCGAGGCCCCGGGGCCCCAGGAGGGUCGAGUCAUUCUCUGGAAUCCCUGGAGUCAGGUUCUGUUUCUCCUUUUUCCAUCUGUUGGCUCCAGCAGCUUUGGCCAUAUGGUGACGUCAACUCCUGGGCAGGUUCAUUUUCUUCUCAGGAAGGGGUGCUAAGAUGCCGGGUGUUGCAAACCACAGAGGCAAAGGGGAGGGAGACACCUGGGGCAAUGCUGCGGGGACACAGAAGCUCAGAGGAGGGGCAUGCUGGGUAUCUCGGUGGGCACGUGGCAUGCCAAAAAGAAGUGACAUCCAAGCACUUCCCUAAGACUCUGCGCGUCCACUGUAGGGGCAAGGGUUUGAUCCUGCAUGCCGCCAUGUGGCAUGAUUGAAAAAAAACAAAACCCUGUUGAUUCAGAGACAUCUAGGAUGGGAUGGUGAAGCAGGACUCUACUCUGACUGAACUAAGGACCCAGGCUCACGAAUCUUUAUCCAGAGUUCUUUUCACUAGACACUGGUGUGAUCUGCAGGACCAGGACUCAGAGAACCCCAAGCGCCUGUGUAGAGUGAGACCCCCUUCCCUGCAAAGGAGCAGCCCACUUGUCAGCCACUCUCUUAAUUUAAUAGAAAACCGCGGCCCUUCUCACUGCCCAGCGCUGGCAGCCCCAGGGU
ensembl:lncRNA